CAGUGGGGAAUCUUGCGCAAUGGGCGAAAGCCUGACGCAGCCAUGCCGCGUGGAUGAUGAAGGUCUUAGGAUUGUAAAAUCCUUUCACCGGUGAAGAUAAUGACUGUAGCCGGAGAAGAAGCCCCGGCUAACUUCGUGCCAGCAGCCGCGGUAAUACGAAGGGGGCUAGCGUUGCUCGGAAUUACUGGGCGUAAAGGGAGCGUAGGCGGACAUUUAAGUCAGGGGUGAAAUCCCAGAGCUCAACUCUGGAACUGCCUUUGAUACUGGGUGUCUUGAGUGUGAGAGAGGUAUGUGGAACUCCGAGUGUAGAGGUGAAAUUCGUAGAUAUUCGGAAGAACACCAGUGGCGAAGGCGACAUACUGGCUCAUUACUGACGCUGAGGCUCGAAAGCGUGGGGAGCAAACAGGAUUAGA
rnacentral:rRNA from 1 species